rnacentral:tRNA from 1 species
GUUGUGGCUCAGUGGUAGAGCGCUUGCCUAGCAUGUAUGAGGCACUGGGUUCGAUCCUCAGCACCACA